AAAAAAAAAAGGAAAACUGUGUUCAAUCCUAGUUUGACAAGUAUAUCAUAAUGACAGAUUUGAAAAAGCAAGUGGAUCAUACCAAAUAAUUGUGACUAGCAUAAACGCACAAUUAAUUUCAUUUUCCACCCCAGGCCAUGAUGUGGUAGUGGCUGCUGCUGGGCUGGAGCAGAAUGGGCAAAGGGAAAAGAUUUCUCUCUGGCUUGCUGGCUUGCUGGCUUGCCAGCCCUGGCUCGCUGCUGUCCUCAGGGAUACCCACAGAAUCCGAAGCCACUUUCUCUUCUUCCUGGAGGGAGUGUUGAGGGUGGGGACGGGACCCUUUCACCCCCAGAUGAUCUCUUAUCAGCCACCUGCACCACCUCCAUCUGAGUACAGGAUUUCUCUUUACUCCACACAGUCUGAGUCAGGCCAUCUUUGCCCACAUCAUGGUUCCAGCCUCCUACCCCACCAAAAUCACCCUAUCAAAUGCCUCAAAGGAACCUGAGGCUGGAAGGCCAGGUGCAGAUCAAGACAUCUUGGAAUUCUUGGGGUUCCCAGCCCAGAGCCAGCCCCCUUCCCCACCCUAGGCACCCUCCCACAUCUUGAGCUCCCUGAUGCUGAGACAAGUUCCAUAUCACCUCCAGCUCCCCAAGGCAAUGCACCACCCUCACACCUGGACCCCAAGGGUGUACUCACACCAUGGCAGCAUAGUCCAAAAAUCAUCCAAGAGAGGACCCCAUGUGGGCUCUGGAAGUGGGCUCAGGUGGGCAUUUCAGGACCUCUGGUACCUGGGGCAAGCUCUACCAAAGGGCCCACCACUCUCUCCUCUUACGGGGAGCACAGGAAUGGGAUCCUCUAAAGCAUGUGGGCCCUCUUACCCAGAUCUAAAGACAGUACUGACAGGCCAGCGGCCCCUAUGUUCUUAGUUUCCUUCACACCCGUCUAGACCUUGCUACUAGGCAUUCCACACACCCUCUUUCCUCUGCCCAUCUCUUUCAUCCUUUCUGCACUUUACUGGACUGGGAGUAAUAAGAUUUCUCCCUUCUGUUUGUGGCAGGGACUCUCCCUUCUUCAUUUCCUGAAUUCUCUCUACCAUUGCCUUGUCAUGUAAACUGGAGUUAAACUAAACGAAUCCUUUCUCAAGUGACAAAGGCCAGCUUUAUGAUUCUUAUUUGGUUGCAAACGCUAAAGCUGCUCAUUUCCUCCUUGCUGUAAUAGGCCAAACCUCUGGUGGAACAGGAGAUGCAAAGCCAAAAAUAACACAUCCAAGUUUUUCAAAGUUAGUAUCCCUGCCUAGUAAAGUAGCACUUUAAUAGAUGUUGGGAAGCUAAAAUAAAGGAGGUGGUGAUACCACUGAGCUCAGCAUUGUCAGUUUCAAGGUACCACCUAUCUAAACAGUCAGGAGUAGGAAGAUCAGGCUUUGUGGGGGAGGGGGUGGUAGCAAGGAGAAAUGGGCUGUAUUUAUCAUAGUCAAAUAUCUAGAGAGCUGUUCUGAGGAAGGUUUAGAUUCAGUGCCAACUCCAGAAUUUCCAUUUAGUGGAGUUUUGGGAGGGGCCGUCCUCAAGGACUUGACGUGAAGGUGAUUUGCACAUCGCUAAACUCUUUGCUGUGCAUUUAUUCAAACUGGCUUUAGAGAGCAGGUGAAGAUUACAGGUGAAUCUUAACGUUUCCCGCUCCUUAUUAGUCACACUCUUAAUUCCACCACUAACUGGACCGCUCCAAACUUUUAGCAUGCACAAUAUUAAUGCUUAUUGAAUAAUAGAACUGAUAAAUGAAUUGCUGUGUGAGAAACAAAGAGAACUUGGCAACGUCAGAGCCUCGUGAGACUGGAAUGGAACCAGGAAGCUCCCAGUGACCGGAGAAGCACCCAGAACAAAAAGAGCUUCAAGACUCAAUGCCCCAGGAGGAAAGUGAUGGUUACUGCCCAAAUCAGUGCUGCAAGGACCUUCACGCUUUUCAACCACCGAGACUUCUGUCUUUCUGAUUUUUUUAAAAGGAUUCCAUCACAGAUGCCACAUUACAUGUAUUUGUCAGGUCUCAGCUGUGACAGCUUUUCAGACUUUUCUUCAUAGCUUUGGCAGACCUGAAGAAUAAUGGUCAGGUAUUUUGUAGAAUGUUCUUCAGUUGGGAUUUGUCUGGUGUUUUCUCAGUAUUAGACUUGGGUUUUGGGUUGGGGGGAGAACACAGAUGUGAUUUUUAGACUUUUUUACUUUUACAAAUUCUGCAUCAAUUCCUUCCAAUCUCCCCCUGUCUCUCCCUCAAAGUGGUACUUUGAUAGCGCUUGUUAGGAUCAAGGAAAUAGACUUUAUUCUAGCAUGUGUUAGAGGAAAUCAUUCUCCUUGAUUGGCUCUCACUAGCAGGAAUGGACUCUUCAGAAAAAAAUCUCCCUGGAGAAGUGGCCUUGGAGCCACAGCCCAGAGAGUCUCAUGGGCUUUUGACAAUGAGCUCUCAUGAAGGACCAACCAAAAGCAACAAGCCCCCAGCCCAGAAAAAAACAGUACAGUUCUGUAUCUCACCUGGGAGAGGCCCUGCCUGAUGGAUUUUAUCAUCCUUUGGGAGUAAAGAAGGAGUGGACUAUGGAAUAACAGGUGAUAAAAAUAUGGCCACAAUCAGAGGCACCUGGAUAGAGAAUUACACCCACACCCUCCCUCCAUAGGGGCUGAAGCUUGGAGAGUAAAGGCAGAAAGUUGAGAGUCUGCGAAUCUAAGACAGAUACCUGGCACUGGAUAAGAGCAUGGGCUGUCCCCUGGCUCUGCCACUGCCUUUUUGGCCACUACGGGCAAGUCACUCCACUGUGGCUCAGGGCAACCUUCUCUGAAGGGUGGGUAAGAGAGUACCUGCCUUGUAAAUUUUCCUGGGGAUCAGACAGGAUGAUAAGAAUAAGCCCUUGCAAUGGUGCUGACUCAGAGUGAGUGCCUCAGGCCAUAUCAGCUAUUACCAUCAUUAUUAAGAUUAGGGUGGAGCUAAUCUGGGAGGCAUUCUAGAGCUAAAACCCUAAGGCUCAGAUGCCUUCUAAAUAAACCAGGAAAAAAAGAAAGAAAGAAAGAACAAGUCAGAUUUCCGAAAAAGAUCUCAAAAAAAAAAAAAAAAAAAAAACCAACAAAAACAAAACAAAACAAAAAAACAAACAGAAAACCCACAGGCACCUGCUGGCAGGUGGAGACAGCAUACAGUUUCUCCAGCGUGGCUUGAGUUAUGCUCCCUUAGGUUCUUCACUAACAUGUGUAAACUUGCUGCACUGUCUAGGGCCAUUAAUUGAACCCAACCAACUGGCCUUUACUGAAACAGGGAACUUGGACUCUGGCCACUGAGCUAGUCAGCUAAUGACCUGCAAACAAACACAUACAAGCUUCAAUAUCUGUCCUCAUCUCAGACUCUGGUAAGGCUUAGAGGAACUCACUUAUCUGAAAGUGCUUGGUAACUGUAAAGUGAUGUUAAUUGAGAAGUAUGCAUCAUCUGGGUUCUAUUAAGCUCUUUGCCCAGGUCUCUAUCUCUCAAGAAUGUGGCAAGAAACUAAUACAGGAGUUCAUGUCGUGGCUUAGUGGUAACAAACCCCACUAGUAUCCAUGAGGAUGAAGGUUCAAUCCCUGCCUGGCUCAGUGGAUUAAGGA